rnacentral:misc_RNA from 1 species
ACCUGGUGGGAAAACCACAAGCGUAGAUAGUUAUCACACCUGUGAUGCCCACCAAACACUGGCAAGCUGAUUCAUUUAGAGGAGCCGACCGUAGGCCAGCAAAACCCCCAAAGUCCAAGCUCAUCACGGAAAACCAUGAAGAGUUGAGGUGUUCAUGAUACUCAAACAGGCAUGCCCUUCGGAAUGGCCAAAGGGCGCAA